CAAAAACACAUUAGGAUAUCCAUGCACCUGCAUAGAGAUGAAAGGUUAUGCAGCUAUCGUGUUUCCAUUAUAAAGACUGAAAGUUUGAAACUAGCCAGCUCCGGGAUCACCACCGAGCAUAUUAGUGUUUGACUUUGAAAUUAAU